UAAUGGAGUGAGAUCGGAUGGGUCAUC
rnacentral:piRNA from 1 species